rnacentral:misc_RNA from 1 species
GUUUAUUAAGUGAAGUUUCCAUGAAUCUUGAUCCUCAGUCCAAUAAAACAGCUUGUUUCCUAGAACGGUUGGUGGAAUCAGCUGAAACUAACCGGCAGAAACUGUUGGCUUUUCAUCAGUUGGGUUGUGUGAGGCUUUUGAGGAAAGAGUAUGAUGAAGCUGAAUGUCUUUUUGAGGCAGCUUUGAAUGCUGGUCAUAUAUAUUCUGUAUCAGGUUCUGGCUAGACUGGGUUACAUUAGGGGUCAUAGACUUUGGGCUUAUGACAAGCUCAGCUCUGUGAUUUCAUCUACUACCCCACUGGGAUGGAUGUACCAGGAGAGGUCCUUGCACUGCGAAGGCUAUAAGAUAUGUGAGGACCUUGAGAAAGCAACCGAGUUGGAUCCUACUCUCACAUAUCCCUACAUGUAUCGUGCAGCUUCUUUUAUGAGGAGACAGAAUGUUCAAGCUGCACUUGCAGAAAUUAACCGGGUUCUUGGGUUUAAACUUGCAUUGGAAUGCUUGGAACUCCGAUUUUGUUUUUAUCUAGGUCUUGAGGAUUACAGAGCAGCCCUUUGUGAUGUUCAGGCAAUUCUUACACUCUCCCCAGAUUAUAGAAUGUUUGAGGGGCGGGUGGCAGCAUACCAACUUCGAACCCUUGUUCGUGAGCAUGUUGGGAAUUGGACAACAGCAGAUUGUUGGAUGCAAUUGUAUGAGAGGUGGUCUUCAGUUGAUGAUAUAGGGUCCCUCUCUGUCAUAUACCAAAUGCUUGAAUCUGAUGCACCAAAAGGUGUUCUAUACUUCAGGCAGUCUCUGCUUCUUCUUAGGUUGAACUGUCCUGAGGUAUAGAACACCUUUUGGUGCAUCAGAUUCAAGCAUUUGGUCAACAUGCAUCAACUGAACAUGAACGUCUAGUUUAUGAAGGAUGGAUCUUGUAUGACACUGGUCA